GCUAUUCAAUUCUUAAUCACAAUCGCCUAUAUAUACAUNGUUGGGNAACCAACUACGGCAAUAAACUGAUGUAUGGAAUAGACGUUGCGGACCCGGGGGCGGUACCCGGCGCCUCCACCAAUCACCUUAAAAGAAUUGGUGUACGGGGGCGAAAUAGGAUCGACGUGCGUAAUAAAGAUAUAACUUUUGCUCAGCAUGAUUCCGCUGUGACGGGUCAAAAUUUGUAGAUGCAAACGAUAAUAACGAAGCAUUUGCUGUAGCAGCUUAACAGCAGUUACGCGGGGUNCGGAGGGCACCUAGCAACAGAAGCCCUUCACU
rnacentral:tmRNA from 1 species